CCUGGACCUAGAGGCAUGGCAGAUUGAAACAUUGUACUCCAGUAGAUGAGAGGUGCUUCCGAGAGGAGAGAGGCUAAGUCCAUACUCAGUGUUCUGACCUGUGAACAUCUGAAUGAUUAGUAGCCUAACAUU
rnacentral:snoRNA from 1 species